GAAUUGCGAUAAGUAAUGUGAAUCGUAAGGUUCAGUGAAUCAUCAAAUCUUUGAACGCAAACGGCGCUCCCUGGUACUCCGGAGAGCAUACCUGUUUGAGCAUCAACAUUGACCUCACAUCCUAGAUGUGGUGAAUGAGCGUCAUGCUAACCGCAUGUUGCUUGAAAAGCAUAGCUGGAAGCAGCCAACCAACGGUGGGGUUUCGGCCUAAGCCUUGGACUGGAUGUUUCUCAACAGCUUCAUCUAACUUGAUCUCAAAUCAGGUAAGACUACCCGCUGAAUUGAA
rnacentral:misc_RNA from 1 species